rnacentral:rRNA from 1 species
AAACUGCGAAUGGCUCAUUAAAUCAGUUAUCGUUUAUUUGAUAGUACCUUACUACUUGGAUAACCGUGGUAAUUCUAGAGCUAAUACAUGCUAAAAACCCCAACUUCGGGAGGGGUGUAUUUAUUAGAUAAAAAACCAAUGCCCUCCGGGGCUCUUUGGUGAUUCAUAGUAACUUAACGGAUCGCAUGGCCUUGCGCCGGCGACGGUUCAUUCAAAUUUCUGCCCUAUCAACUUUCGAUGGUAAGGUAUUGGCUUACCAUGGUUUCAACGGGUAACGGGGAAUUAGGGUUCGAUUCCGGAGAGGGAGCCUGAGAAACGGCUACCACAUCCAAGGAAGGCAGCAGGCGCGCAAAUUACCCAAUCCCGACACGGGGAGGUAGUGACAAUAAAUACUGAUACAGGGCUCUUUUGGGUCUUGUAAUCGGAAUGAGUACAAUUUAAACCCCUUAACGAGGAACAAUUGGAGGGCAAGUCUGGUGCCAGCAGCCGCGGUAAUUCCAGCUCCAAUAGCGUAUAUUAAAGUUGUUGCAGUUAAAAAGCUCGUAGUUGAACCUUGGGCCUGGCUGGCCGGUCCGCCUCACCGCGUGUACUGGUCCGGCCGGGCCUUUCCUUCUGGAGAACCCCAUGCCCUUUACUGGGUGUGCGGGGGAACCAGGACUUUUACUGUGAAAAAAUUAGAGUGUUCAAAGCAGGCCUUUGCUCGAAUACGUUAGCAUGGAAUAAUAGAAUAGGACGUGCGGUUCUAUUUUGUUGGUUUCUAGGACCGCCGUAAUGAUUAAUAGGGAUAGUCGGGGGCAUCAGUAUUCAAUUGUCAGAGGUGAAAUUCUUGGAUUUAUUGAAGACUAACUACUGCGAAAGCAUUUGCCAAGGAUGUUUUCAUUAAUCAGUGAACGAAAGUUAGGGGAUCGAAGACGAUCAGAUACCGUCGUAGUCUUAACCGUAAACUAUGCCGACUAGGGAUCGGGCGAUGUUUCUAUCUUGACUCGCUCGGCACCUUACGAGAAAUCAAAGUUUUUGGGUCUGGGGGAG